GGAGCGUGUAAGUGUGUGCGUGUGUGUGUAUGUGUGCAGUGAAGUGCAAAAGAAACACGAUAAAAAAAAAAAACAACACGCCAAGCAGUUGCGCCCGUUUUAGCUGAUAAAGCGUAUAGAAAAAAAGUACAACAACAACAACAACACACAAAGCAGUAGGCACGAAACGAGUGAAAAUAGAAAAUUAAUAAUUAGCUAGAAGAAGCAGCAGCAGCAUUCACACAGGCGAUUUGUAAGUGAUCAGUGCUAAAAAAAAAAAAAGAAAAAAAACGUAAAUGAAAAAUUAAAAUAACAAAUCGUGCAACUUUUCCCAUAAAUAGUGCAAAUCAAAAUUCUCGGUGCAGCGGCCAAAUUUGUAUCGAUCGCACACAGCAACAAAAACACAUACAAAUACAACUACAGCUACAACUACAAAUACAAUAACAAAAGCAACAACAAUAACAAAUCGCACAUCAGAUUUUCAAACUGCAACUGUUGGCGCCUCAAGCGCCGUUAUUUAAUACCGCAAAUCCGUCAAAAUGUCAACAAUGGAGGUGCGCAACAACUCGGCCAUGAUGAAGCGUGCCGAGCAGCUGAAGCGCUGGGAGGAGUCGGACACAAAUCGCGCCGCCCCCACGCCUCGUCGCGAGGACUGUCGCAGCAUCAAGUUUAGCUCCGGCUGCGUUUUUCUCGCCGCCUGCCUCUCCGGCGACAAGGAGGAGGUCGUCCAGCUGCUCAAUCAGGGCGCCGACAUUAACACGGCCAAUGUUGAUGGCCUCACCGCUUUGCAUCAGGCCUGCAUCGAUGACAAACUCGACAUGGUUGAGUUUUUAAUAGAGCACGGCGCCGAUAUCAAUCGGCAAGACAACGAGGGCUGGACGCCGCUGCAUGCAACCGCCUCCUGCGGCUUUGUCAGCAUAGCAUGCUAUCUGGUGGAGCACAACGCCGAUGUGGCUGCCGUGAACAGCGAUGGCGAUCUGGCGCUGGACUUGGCUAUCGAUGUGCAGCACAUGCCCAUGAUUAACUAUAUGGAAAAGGUGGUGCAGGAGCUGAAUAUUGAUGUGGAUCAGGCACGUAGGGCCGAGGAGCAGGCCAUGCUGAAAGAUGCCAAGCGCAGCGAUGCGGCCGAAGUGGAUCAGCCGCAUCCAAAAACUGGUGCAACGGCGUUGCAUGUGGCCGCCGCCAAGGGCUAUACGAAAGUGCUACGUCUAUUGCUGGCCCGUGACUGCAAUGUUGAUAGGCAGGAUAACGAUGGCUGGACACCAUUGCAUGCUGCCGCACACUGGGGCCAAAAGGAGACAGCUGAAAUGCUGGUGGAGGCCCUGGCCGAUAUGGAUAUACCCAAUUAUGCUGGCCAAUCCUGCAUCGAUGUGGCCGAUCGCAAAAUGGUCAAAUUCCUUGAAGAGCUGCGCGCCAAUAAGCGCAACAAACGGCGUCCAUCUAGUCAAAUCAGAAUCUCAGAUGCGAUUGAAAAUCAUGUGGACAAAACACGAAUGAAACUCGUACGCGUCGAAGUGAGAACUGAUGCCGCUAAGGAUGCUGCGAGCGGUUCGCUUAACGCCAGCGAUCAAGUUGCGCUAAAUGAUGAUGAUGUUGCUGCCACAGUUGUUACUGCUGCCCAGGAUCAUAAUGAUGUUGAUGAUAAUGAUGAUGUUGAUGUUGAUGUUGAAAGCGAUUCAGAGCUGAGCGAUUCGACAGAGAGCUCACACAGCACAAGUCUAUCCGAGAGCGAAGCUGAAAAUGUUAAACCCAAUCAGCAUAUACAUGCUGGCGAGCAUUCUGCCGAGGAGGAGGCGCCCUGGCGACGCAAAACUCUGCGCACGCCCAACGACAGUCCCACUAAGAAUCAAGUUCCUGACAAAGAGCUGAGCGGCAAAAGCGCUAAUGAGAGCGCAAACGAUGUCAUCUUGCGGCGCACGCAAAGCUUUGAGAAUGAUCAAAAAUUCUAUCAAAAGUACAAUGAGCUGCGGGCACGCAUAAAGGCGAACUCAUGUCCCAUACUGCCAGCGACGACGGCAAAUGCUCUGCCCGGCAAUGCAAAUAACAACAAUAACCAAAGUAGCAAUAACAACAAUAAUAACAAUAACAACAACAACAAUAACAAUAAGAGCGCGCUGCUGUUGGGAAAAACUGUGAGCACAACCAGCGUCAGCAGCAGCAGCGGCAGCAGCAGCAACAACUACAACAACACAACAACCACCACAACAACAACAACUACAUUCAACACACACACCAACAACACAACAACAACUGCAACAGCAGCAGCUACUACAGCAAAUCCAAGUCAAAUUUAUAGCGUACAAAGAUCGGCCUCCCUCAAAGAUAACUCAGUAUAUUUCAGGAAACCAAUCGCUCCAGCUACGAUGCUGACAGCAGCGACAACAACGACUACAACAACAACAACGACGCUCAGCUCACCAUCAACAACUGUGCUCACCCCACCUAUACGCAGCAAUCCUGCCAACAACAACAACAAUGCCAGCUCUAUGGCGAGCGCCAGUGCAAGCGAUGCGGAGACCCAACCAAAACCCAAGCAAUCGGCGGGCAAUAUAUUCAAGAACUUUUUCAAAUCCUUUGUGCCGCCAGUGCGCGACGAGGAGAGCGAAACGCAGCGCAAGGCGCACGCGAAACGAGUCCGUGAGACGCGUCGCUCCACGCAGGGCGUUACGCUCGAGGAGAUCAAGAGUGCCGAGGAGCUGGUCAAGAAGAAGAACUUGGGCAUGAACAACAACAACAACAAUAACAACAACAACAGCAGCAGCUUCAAGCUGGAGGACAUCACCAGCGGUGGCACCUACCCGCCCAAUCAGAGCACAAUCAUACCCAGCGCACCGGCCGUGAUGGCCGCGGUUAAUUUGGCCAGCACAACGGGCAACCCGCGUCGCAUAAGCAGUGGACCCAAUGCGCUUAACGCUUCCAAUCAAUCGCUCAACUCGGUGGGUCGUCCGGUCUCAGCACCCAGCGAGAGCAGCAAUAACAGCGCAUAUGUGACGCCGCCGGCGCGUAGAUACGAGACAUCCACGCUGGGGACAGCUGCCUCGACAACAGCCACAACAACUGCCACGACAGCCACCAACUCCGCGUCUGCAUCCAGUGCCAACCAUGGAACGGCGACUAGCUCCACGCCCGGCCAUGAUGAUAAGGAUAACGACAAGGAGAACGAUAAUCGUACACAGACUGUUAUUCAGCGACGUCGCAAGCCCAAGCGCAGAUCCACGGGCGUGGUGCAUAUCGAUAUGGAUGAAAUUGAUCCGGAACGCCAACACGAAACGGCCAACAAUGACAAUGAGGAUAAGGAUAAGGAGAGCGGCAGUGAACGCACCUCACGCUCUCGCACCGCGAGCACAGCGACAACGAGCACCGGCAGCGAUUCAAAGAGUUCCAGCAACAACGACAAAGCGGAAAACGGCGAUGGCAUCGACUACAAGGCGCUCUGGGAAGCGGCCAAACUGGAGAACGAUAAGCUCAAGCAAAUGCUCAAGCAGAAGGACGACGAAGCUGUACAGACGCGUGCGACGCUCGAGCGCUUCGCCAAUGCCACCACUAAAAAUUCACUCUCUGAGAUUGAGAAACGUGAAAGAAGAGCUAUGGAACGCAAGCUUUCCGAAUUGGAAGAAGAGCUCAAGCUAUUGCAGAAGCUAAAGACUGAGAACGACCGCCUGCGUGCCGAGAAUCGAGCCCUCACGCGUGUCGUCUCUAAGUUGACCACCUCGGCCCAGAGUCAGCUGGCCAAAAGCAAAUAGGCAACAAUUUACAACAAACAAAAGAAAUAAACAAAAAAAUAAAAAAUAGAAUAUCCUAAAAUAUUGAAAAAACAGCAUAAUCGAAUAUCGUAAUCGUAAUCGUAAUCGCAAACGCAAACCGCUAUCGUAAUCGUAAUCGUAAUCGUUAUCGUUUCUUUAAAUACUCGAGCUGCACACAUAUAUUUACAUACGUACACGCAUACCUAGUUAAAUUCUUAGAUAUCGUACACCCAUCGUCUAGCCUAGAGAUAUUCAGAAACCAUUUUGAUGAACAACUUUAAAGAUUCUUCCACCAUCGAUAUUGUUUAUUAUCAUUAUCAUUAUUAUUAUUAUGAGACAAACAACAACAAGAACAAUUUGCAUUGUUAUAUUGAGCGCAACGUGUAACAAUAAUUAAAUGUACUGUAGUUAAAUUAAGUUUAUAACUUUUGGGGGCAACGAGCACUUAGCAGGCAAAUUUCUAUUUUUGCACCGCUGUACUUUUAGCCCAGAGCAAAAUAAUAUAUGACACAUACACACAUAUUGUAUUGGAGUUAUAUGAAAUAAUACAGAAUAUAACGUUACAAGAUAUAGCACAACAUAUGGCAACUAUAUAUACACACACAUAAGUAUCGUAUACAUACGUUUAAUCAAAAUCAAAAGCUACAUCAAAAAUCGUAAAUCGUAACUCAACGCAACCCAAGGAUUUGCCCAAAUGCUCAACUAUGCUGCCCACGCACUACUUCUACAACAACAACAACAACAAUUGCAGCAAUUCGGUCGUGGCACGAGCACCAAGAUCAUCAUCAGCACAGAUCUAUUAACUUAUUUCUUAUAUGCAGUGAGCUUUACGCAACUUGAUGCCUACAAGUCGGACAAUGACCGCCUGAAGGAGGAGAACGCCGCGUUGAUUAGAGUAAUUAGUAAAUUAAGUAAAUGAAA
rnacentral:misc_RNA from 1 species